CCCUCCCUCUUUCUUCAUGCCUAACACAUGCAAGUCGAACGAGACCUUCGGGUCUAGUGGCGCACGGGUGCGUAACGCGUGGGAACCUGCCCUUAGGUUCGGAAUAACUCCCCGAAAGGGGUGCUAAUACCGGAUAAUGUCUUCGGACCAAAGAUUUAUCGCCUUUGGAUGGGCCCGCGUUGGAUUAGCUAGUUGGUAGGGUAAAAGCCUACCAAGGCGACGAUCCAUAGCUGGUCUGAGAGGAUGAUCAGUCACACUGGGACUGAGACACGGCCCAGACUCCUACGGGAGGCAGCAGUGGGGAAUAUUGGACAAUGGGCGAAAGCCUGAUCCAGCAAUGCCGCGUGAGUGAUGAAGGCCUUAGGGUUGUAAAGCUCUUUUACCCGGGAUGAUAAUGACAGUACCGGGAGAAUAAGCGCCGGCUAACUCCGUG
rnacentral:rRNA from 1 species